UACGGGGGGGGGCAAGCGUUGUUCGGAAUUACUGGGCGUAAAGGGCUCGUAGGUGGCCAACUAAGUCGGACGUGAAAUCCCUCGGCUUAACCGGGGAACUGCGUCUGAUACUGGAUGGCUUGAGUUUGGGAGAGGGACGCGGAAUUCCAGGUGUAGCGGUGAAAUGCGCAGAUAUCAGGAGGAACACCGACGGCGAAGGCAGCACUCUGGGCCGGUACUGACGCUGAGGAGCGAAAGCAUGGGGAGCGAACAGG
rnacentral:rRNA from 1 species